rnacentral:rRNA from 1 species
GCCGGUCGAGCGAACAGACGAGGAGCUUGCUCCUCUGACGUUAGCGGCGGACGGGUGAGUAACACGUGGAUAACCUACCUAUAAGACUGGGAUAACUUCGGGAAACCGGAGCUAAUACCGGAUAAUAUAUUGAACCUCAUGGUUCAAUAGUGAAAGACGGUUUUGCUGUCACUUAUAGAUGGAUCCGCGCCGCAUUAGCUAGUUGGUAAGGUAACGGCUUACCAAGGCAACGAUGCGCAGCCGACCUGAGAGGGUGAUCGGCCACACUGGAACUGAGACACGGUCCAGACUCCUACGGGAGGCAGCAGUAGGGAAUCUUCCGCAAUGGGCGAAAGCUUGACGGAGCAACGCCGCGUGAGUGAUGAAGGUCUUCGGAUCGUAAAACUCUGUUAUUAGGGAAGAACAAAUGUGUAAGUAACUAUGCACGUCUUGACGGUACCUAAUCAGAAAGCCACGGCUAACUACGUGCCAGCAGCCGCGGUAAUACGUAGGUGGCAAGCGUCAUCCGGAAUUAUUGGGCGUAAAGCGCGCGUAGGCGGUUUUUUAAGUCUGAUGUGAAAGCCCACGGCUCAACCGUGGAGGGUCAUUGGAAACUGGAAAACUUGAGUGCAGAAGAGGAAAGUGGAAUUCCAUGUGUAGCGGUGAAAUGCGCAGAGAUAUGGAGGAACACCAGUGGCGAAGGCGACUUUCUGGUCUGUAACUGACGCUGAUGUGCGAAAGCGUGGGGAUCAAACAGGAUUAGAUACCCUGGUAGUCCACGCCGUAAACGAUGAGUGCUAAGUGUUAGGGGGUUUCCGCCCCUUAGUGCUGCAGCUAACGCAUUAAGCACUCCGCCUGGGGAGUACGACCGCANGGUUGAAACUC